rnacentral:lncRNA from 1 species
GCGCCUGUGAGGGUUCGGCUGAGGUAGUAAAGCGCUCCUUCUUUCUGGGAUUCAUUCUCUUGCGCCAAGAGUGCUCCAACUGAACUUUCUUGAGCGGCGAUGUACAAUAUGAGUGGUUUCCCGGGCACAGGCGCCCCCAAGACAGGUGGACUUGACAAAUACUUUUUUAUGCUUUCAAAAGCAUUGUGGCAUGCUUCGUCCC